ensembl:lncRNA
UGUUAAGUCCUUAAUGACGUGGAGGCCAAGGAACUUUAAGCUCUUGACUUGCUCCACAACAACCCUGUCGAUGUGGAUGGGGGCAUGCUCUCCCCUCUUUCUCCUAUAGUCCACAAUCAGCUCCUUGGUCUUACUGACGUUGAGGGAGACGUUGUUGUCCUGGCACCACAAUGCUAAGUCUCUGACCUCCUCCCUGUAGGCUGACUCAUCGCCAUCAGUGAUCAGGCCUACCACCUCUGUGUCAUCAGCAAACUUGAUGAUGGUGUUUGAGUCAUGCGAAGCCAUGCAGUUGUGGGAGAACAGGAGGGGACUAAGCACACACCUGAGGAGCCCUUGUGUUGAGAGUCAGCGUGGAGGAAAAGUUGUUGCCUACCCUUACCACCAGGGCCUGGCCCGCCAGGAAGCACAGGAUCCAGUUGCAGAGGGAGGGGUUCAGUCCCAGGGUCCAUAGCUCGGUGAUGAGCUUGUUUAUCCUUGCCUUCAACAGCAGUUAUAUUCUGAUUAAUUAACAACAAUGGAGAAAUGAAAAACAUCAGGAAUACAGCAGCCCUUUAGAACAGGAGCUCUACAGCCAAGUUAGAUAGACCUUGCUAUGCUUUGUGAUGAGAGCUUUGUGGUACACAGUUAGAACCUUGAGUUUUCCCAAUGCCUGACAAUGUUACCUGACCAGAAAUAAACUAUGUGCCCUAUGAUCGUUAAUACAGUGUUGUUCAGAGGGUGGCGUCACUGGCAUCCGAGAUGGCAGAGCAGGUGUCGGGGGAGUGCCAACGACAGGGGGCUUGGGCGACCCUGGGAGAGGGCACAGGGGCGAAACUUCUGUGUCCCGACACUGGCUCCGUCCUUAGCAAGGAGGACAUCAUAGCCCCUGACGGGUCAGUGCGUGCCUGUGGAGCGGUCCAAACAGACUCUGUCACAGGUCUCAUACAACCGAAACCCCACACCCACAUGCUCCUGGCCAGCGGGCACAGUAUGCCAGUGCCCCCUGACUUCUUCCUCCACCCUCAGACUGGCAGACUGCUGCCUGUAGCUGGCAACGUGGGCUAUGACCCAGCCAGCUCUAUCCUAGUCUUCACAACAGACUCAUGUACAGGUGA